rnacentral:rRNA from 1 species
AUUGAACGCUGGCGGAAUGCUCUACACAUGCAAGUCGAACGGCAGCACGGACUUCGGUCUGGUGGCGAGUGGCGAACGGGUGAGUAAUACAUCGGAACGUGCCCAGUCGUGGGGGAUAACGUAGCGAAAGCUACGCUAAUACCGCAUACGAUCUAAGAAUGAAAGCGGGGGAUCGCAAGACCUCGCGCGAUUGGAGCGGCCGAUGGCAGAUUAGGUAGUUGGUAGGGUAAAGGCCUACCAAGCCGACGAUCUGUAGCUGGUCUGAGAGGAUGAGCAGCCACACUGGGACUGAGACACGGCCCAGACUCCUACGGGAGGCAGCAGUGGGGAAUUUUGGACAAUGGGCGCAAGCCUGAUCCAGCCAUUCCGCGUGCAGGAUGAAGGCCUUCGGAUUGUAAACUGCUUUUGUACAGAACGAAAAGGCUCUGGUUAAUACCCGGGGCUCAUGACGGUACUGUAAGAAUAAGCACCGGCUAACUACGUGCCAGCCGCCGCCGUAA